rnacentral:rRNA from 1 species
CCGCGGUAAUACGGAAGGUCCGGGCGUUAUCCGGAUUUAUUGGGUUUAAAGGGAGCGUAGGCCGCCCCUUAAGCGUGUUGUGAAAUGCGGGUGCUCAACAUCCGACUUGCAGCGCGAACUGGGGGGCUUGAGUGCGCCGAAAGUAGGCGGAAUUCGUGGUGUAGCGGUGAAAUGCUUAGAUAUCACGAAGAACUCCGAUUGCGAAGGCAGCUUACUGUAGCGCAACUGACGCUGAUGCUCGAAAGCGUGGGUAUCGAACAGGAUUAGAUACCCUGGUAGUCCACGCGGUAAACGAUGGAUGCUCGUUGUCGGCCUUUGUGGUCGGUGACCAAGCGAAAGCGUUAAGCAUCCCACCUGGGGAGUACGCCGGCAACGGUGAAACUCAAAGGAAUUGACGGGGGCCCGCACAAGCGGAGGAACAUGUGGUUUAAUUCGAUGAUACGCGAGGAACCUUACCCGGGCUUGAAUUGCAGUCGCUGCCCACAGAGACGUGGGCUUCCCUUCGGGGCGUCUGUGAAGGUGCUGCAUGGUUGUCGUCAGCUCGUGCCGUGAGGUGUCGGCUUAAGUGCCAUAACGAGCGCAACCCCCUUUCCCAGUUGCCAUCGGGUGAUGCCGGGCACUCUGGGGACACUGCCACCGCAAGGUGCGAGGAAGGUGGGGAUGACGUCAAAUCAGCACGGCCCUUACGUCCGGGGCUACACACGUGUUACAAUGGCCGGUACAGAGGGACGGUGCAAUGCAAGUUGCAUCCAAUCUUGAAAUCCGGUCCCAGUUCGGACUGGGGUCUGCAACCCGACCCCACGAAGCUGGAUUCGCUAGUAAUCGCGCAUCAGCCAUGGCGCGGUGAAUACGUUCCCGGGCCUUGUACACACCGCCCGUCAAGCCAUGAAAGCCGGGGGUGCCUGAAGUCUGUGACCGCAAGGAACGGCCUAGGGCAAAACCGGUGAUUGGGGCUAAGUCGUAACAAGGUAGCCGUACCGGAAGGUGCGG